rnacentral:tRNA from 1 species
CAGAGAGUAGUUUAGGUAAAAUGCCAGCUUUGGGAGUUGGUGACGAAGGUUUAAUUCCUUUCUCUUUGA